AGAGCAAUGAGAAAACUAGGGAGAGUGCGAGAAUGUGGGCUGGGAGCCAAUCAAAUCUCCCUUCUUCAGUUUCAUUUGGAGGCCAAGAAGACAGCUCUGUCAGAGAGAUUUGGCUUGGGUCCUGGCUUGGUCAUGUGAUCUGUGUGUUCAUGGAAAACUGCCUGGCAGUUCUCGGAAUUACUCAGGAUUCUUUCCCAGUCCUUCAUGGGGCCUCUAAUGAAGUCCGAGCUGUAGCCUGGGGUUGAUGCCAGCCUGGAAUGCAAGGAGACUGAAAGCUGACACCCGUUCAGCAGUGCAAAGGGCCUUGCACUGAGGUUGUUGCCAUGACAACCUGGGGAACGACAAUGGCUGCUUUGUUGAUCAAAUGAUUUGGCCAAUGAUUUUUCCAGAAGGUUGGGCAGAAACUGGAGCCCAUGAAAGGUGUGAACUUCUGUGAAGGAAUGGUGACCUUGAGGAGGGCUGGCUGCAUUUGAGAUCAGAUCCUCCAGCUUUGAUAUCGGAUCAUGCCUGUGCUUUGCCGAUGACACUGCUGUCUCUUGGGACGCAGUUCUGAACAAAGUGCUGUGCUCCACACUCCACGCUGCUGGGACCUACUGCUCCAGGGGCUGCAGGUAUACAUAGAAUGGACUCUGUCAGAGUGAAACAGACCCGCUUCUACUCCAGG